AACGAACGCUGGCGGCAUGCCUAACACAUGCAAGUCGAACGAGAUCUUCGGGUCUAGUGGCGCACGGGUGCGUAACGCGUGGGAAUCUGCCCUUUGGUUCGGAAUAACAGUUGGAAACGACUGCUAAUACCGGAUGAUGACGAAAGUCCAAAGAUUUAUCGCCAGAGGAUGAGCCCGCGUAGGAUUAGCUAGUUGGUGUGGUAAAGGCGCACCAAGGCGACGAUCCUUAGCUGGUCUGAGAGGAUGAUCAGCCACACUGGGACUGAGACACGGCCCAGACGCCUACGGGGGGCAGCAGUGGGGAAUAUUGGACAAUGGGCGAAAGCCUGAUCCAGCAAUGCCGCGAGAGUGAUGAAGGCCUUAGGGUUGUAAAGCUCUUUUACCCGGGAUGAUAAUGACAGUACCGGGUGAAUAAGCUCCGGCUAACUCCGUGCCAGCAGCCGCCGUAA
rnacentral:rRNA from 1 species